GUAUAAAGGUACGUCAGAUGUAAACAGGUACGUCAGGUGUAUAAAGGUACGUCAGGUGUAAACAGGUACGUCAGGUGUAAACAGGUACGUCAGGUGUAUAAAGGUACGUCAGGUGUAAACAGGUACGUCAGGUGUAAACAGGUACGUCAGAUGUAAACAGGUACGUCAGGUGUAUAAAGGUACGUCAGGUGUUAACAGGUACGUCAGGUGUAAACAGGUACGCCAGGUGUAUAAAGGUACGUCAGGUGUUAACAGGUACGUCAGGUGUAUAAAGGUACGUCAGAUGUAAACAGGUACGUCAGAUGUAAACAGGUACGUCAGGUGUAUAAAGGUACGUCAGGUGUUAACAGGUACGUCAGGUGUAAACAGGUACGCCAGGUGUAUAAAGGUACGUCAGGUGUUAACAGGUACGUCAGGUGUAUAAAGGUACGUCAGAUGUAAACAGGUACGUCAGAUGUAAACAGGUGUAAACAGGUAGGUCAGGUGUAAACAGGUACGUCAGAUGUAAACAGGUAUGUCAGAUGUAAAAAGGUAUGUCAGAUGUAAAAAGGUAUGUCAGGUGUAAAAAGGUACGUCAGAUGUAAACAGGU